rnacentral:rRNA from 1 species
AUGAAUUGCCUCUUCUGGAACAUUAGGGGCAUAACUGCCCCAGGGAGGAAAACCUGCAUAGUGGAGGUACUUAGCAAGACCAAAGCUUGUAUUAUUACCUUCCAAGAAACAAAAAAAGAAGAGCUCUUUUCUGCUUUCUUGAAAUCUAUUAGCAAUAACAGGAAUUUUGUGUGGCACCACCUGCCUGCUGAAGGAUCUGCUGGAGGGAUCCUAGUAGGUGUGGAUGCAGACAUUUAUGAAGUGAACAAUUGGAGUUCCUUUAAGUUCUCUGUCUCAUGUAAUCUCACUGUUAGAUCCAGUGGGAUCAAGUUUAGACUGAUUAGUGUUUAUGGUUCACCUUAUGAUGAAGGGAAAGAUGCUUUCAUCUCUGAGCUCCAUAGCCUGUUUAUAGAUGAUAACCAGCCUACCCUGAUAGAAGGAGAUUUUAACUUGGUUAGAUAUCAACAAGAUAAAAGUAAUGGCAACAUCAAUCACCACUGGUGUGAUAAGUUUAAUGCCUGGAUAGAGAUUUGGAGUCUCUUAGAGAUCAAAAUGUCUGGCAGAAAAUUCACAUGGGCCAAUAACCAAAGUAAUCUGGUUAUGACCACCAUAGAUAGAAUUUUCUGCAAUACAAAGCUAGAAGCUUUGUUCCCUUUGAGUAGCUCACAAGCCCUGCCCAGAGUGGGAAGUGAUCACACCCCACUGCUGUGGGACUCUGGCUUAAAUAGCCCCCCCAAACCCACCAGUUUCAAAUUUGAAAAGUGGUGGUUGUUGAGGGCAGAUUUCAGAGAAUUAGUUAUUAAAAACUGGACAGCCCAUGUUAAAGAGAAGAAAGCUAUAGAUAUUUGGCAGGUGAAAGCUAGGAGAUUCAGGAAAUUUCCUAAGGGAUGGAGUAAAAAUAUUGAGGCUGAGCUUAGGAAACAUAAAGCCAGCCUCACACUAGAAUAUGAUUCUCUAGAUAUCAAGGCUGAAACUGAACAGUUAUCAGAACCUGAGGUUGAUAGGAUGAAAAAGAUACUGCAGGAUCUUCAGCAAAUUUGGCUGAAAGAUGAGAUUAAAGCCAAACAAAGAUCUAGGGACAAGGAUAUUUUAGAAGGAGAUAGGAAUACUAAGUACUUCCAAACUGUAGCCAACCAAAGAGAAGGAAAACACUGA